UGCACUCACUACUGUAAGUCUCUCUGGAUAAGAGCUUCUGCUAAAUGACUCAAA
rfam:Salmo salar isolate Sally breed double haploid chromosome ssa04, whole genome shotgun sequence.